rnacentral:rRNA from 1 species
GACGAACGCUGGCGGCGUGCCUAAUACAUGCAAGUAGAACGCUGAAGGAGGAGCUUGCUUCUCUGGAUGAGUUGCGAACGGGUGAGUAACGCGUAGGUAACCUGCCUGGUAGCGGGGGAUAACUAUUGGAAACGAUAGCUAAUACCGCAUAAGAGUAGAUGUUGCAUGACAUUUGCUUAAAAGGUGCAAUUGCAUCACUACCAGAUGGACCUGCGUUGUAUUAGCUAGUUGGUGAGGUAACGGCUCACCAAGGCGACGAUACAUAGCCGACCUGAGAGGGUGAUCGGCCACACUGGGACUGAGACACGGCCCAGACUCCUACGGGAGGCAGCAGUAGGGAAUCUUCGGCAAUGGACGGAAGUCUGACCGAGCAACGCCGCGUGAGUGAAGAAGGUUUUCGGAUCGUAAAGCUCUGUUGUAAGAGAAGAACGAGUGUGAGAGUGGAAAGUUCACACUGUGGCGGUAGCUUACCAGAAAGGGACGGCUAACUACGUG